GUUCCCUCCAUGUUGGCACCGAAGCUUCUGGCAGGAAUCUGGCGCUUCCCGUGCCAGGGUCUGCACACAGGACACGGAAAACAGGCAGGCAGCACCGGCGGCAGCAGCGUGGUUUCCAUGCCCACAUGCAGGGGCACCAGCGCCCUCUCGCUCGCUUGCUGACCUGGCUCGUGGAAGGAAGGCGGCUGGGACCCCGGGACAGCUGGCCUCCGCCCCCGGCCCUCCUCUGCAGCUAAGGGCUGCAGAGCCCGCAGGCGUAUUCUGGCAAGCACCCUCCCAGCUCUGUGCAGUCCGCCCCAGCCUAGAAGCUGAGCUCGGGAAGCAGCAAAAGGCACCCUGCGGAGCCAGGAAAGACAGCACGCAGACGACCCGCGCACCAAGACACCCUGUGGAUGGCAGGAGGCCAGGGAAGGGUAUGGAGAGGGUCCUGGAGGGAGGUCGGCAGCACUCCAGGACUGAGGAGCGGGAACUUGGGUGUGCAACCGGUCCCCAAGCGUUGAACUUGACCAUCAGAGGGGGCCACCAGGACUGUGGAGGUAGGGGGUGCGGCGAAAGGACACAAAGGCUAAAUACAGCUACUCGGAAGGAAGCGUUUUUUUUGAGAACCAACCUGGAAGCUUAAGAACAAUCGCACCGGGAGAGACUUUGUAAUGAGGAAGCUGAAGAGGCAAAGAAAGGAAAAUCCGGAUUGGAGAGUGAGGUGAGGAAAGAGUUAGAAGCCGAGAAAAGAAAAUUGCAACAGGAACUAAAAAGAAGGGGGGGGGGAAUCAAUAAAAGAAUUUUUCAAAAAUCAAAAAUCAUGCCAGAGCGAACUUGUUCCUGAAACUGCCAACAGAGGGAAGAAUACAAGGGUGGGGGCACGGAACACACUGGAGAAGCCAAAAGUAAAGAAAGGAGGGGAGAGAAGACAGGAUGCAAAUUAAACCAGAGACGGCAUACUAUCUCUGAGGAGACAGCGGUGUGACCAUUCAAGCUUCUGUCUUCAGAGUCCGCUGUGUUACAGGAUCAGCAAGCAAACGAAGACAUCAAUCUUCCAAGAUUCUAAUGACACAAAAGAAGAAUGUAAGUUGUAAAUGAUGGUUCCCACUUGCAGAAAAAAAAAAAGGAGAGGAAAAAAUGCACUAAAACCAUUUCAAACAAGAAUAUAAUAAAAAUGUGCGGUUUCUAAGUAUUUGACAGCCCACAAACUCAUCUCAAGGGUAUCUGUCCCAUGACGACCUUCUCAUCAUGAAUGCAUCAGGACGGCUCACAGGUGUCUGGACUCUGCGCUUCCUCAUCCAUGACAUGAGUUUUGAACGAGACAAAAUGCGGCACCUACUUUCAGAAUGUCGGGCUGUGGGCCUUUGCAACUGUUCCUCUCUGCUGCCAGAGAAAGCCUCCCUGAUGCAGACUGGAUAAAGCACCGAUCUACACAAUAGAGACGCCAUCCCAUGAAAUCUCAGCAGUGUGGCUGCCUAAACAGAAUACUGAAGAUGCCUCACGGAAUGCCAACAUGGAGGGGGAAAAUGUCACAAAGUCCCGCCACCGCCACCGCUGGAUGAAGAGCUACCACCAGUGGCUGCUGGGAGGACAAUCAGUUUCUUCCAGGAAUGAGAUCCCACAGAGAUUGCCUAGUCACGAAUGGUCAGCCUGGACACACAGACGUACGAGCAAAGGGUCCUCUACCUGGCUGGUCCUCACCACAGCCAUGGUCUGUUGGGUUCAAGAGCUGCUGCAACGUUGUGGAAUAGUCACUGGAACAGAAUUCAGAAUUCUGCCCUGCCUCUGGGAGAGAAACCACUUCCUCCUGCUAGGAACAGCCAAGACUCUGCAGAAGCAACAGCUGGCCCGAGGUGAUUUUUAUCCUGUGGAACAAGCUGCACACAAGGCAGAUCAUUACAUGUCUACGUGAGGAUCCCAGAUUAGUAAUGCUUCCAGUUUUAUUUGAAGUCCUUUUGUUUGAUUAGCAUUGGUACAAGAUUUCCUUCACGAUCUUACAAAGCAUGUCCAGAAAUGUCUCUGAGCAAAUAAUAAUAAUAAUAAUAAUUCCAGCUAAUAACAUUAAGAUAAAACCCAUUACAUAGUACUUUACUGCAAUUAACCCACAGAAUAAGGCACAAUGCAGAGAUGGUUAUGUCCUGAGGCCCAAAAGGGCAGUUUGGAAUGGGAGCCUGUGUUUUAGCUUAAGAAUUACUUACUAAAUAGAAACUUAGUGUCCCCACAUUUGAUAGUGUAUGGUCACUUUAGGGAAUGUGCCUGCCAAUUAUCACCUAAAUAUUUGUAGACUGGAGACCCUUGGGUAUGUUUGUUUGUUUGUUUGUUUGUUUGUUUUCCCAAUCCGGCAACUAAAUGAACAGAAUGGGGUUGUUGGCUUAAAAACAAACAAACAAAAAACCACUACCAUGUCAUUCCAGCUAAAAGCAGCUCCAGCAUUUCCUAACUGCUCAGUUUCAAACUGCCAGACACAAGGUCACUGGUACAAGUGGUGACAGCUCCAGUGGACACAUUUGUCUCCCUCCAAAGUGUGGCCUGAAACAUCUGGCUGGGACAGAAGGUCAUGGACGCCUUCCUCAGGAUUGCAGACAGAUCCAGAACGAUAUGAGUCAGGGGAAGAAAGCACACAUAUCAAACGCUCCUGACCACCUAUUUCUAUUCAAGGGAGAUAAGGAAGCAAUAACCUUGCUACUAAUGUGAAUUCCAAGGAGGGAACUAAAUAAAUUGCCUCUACUCUACACACACCACUAUUAAUCUGUACAAAUACUGGUCAAUUAAAUUAGAUUACACUUGUAAAGUACCUGGCACCAGGGCCGGACAGUCAGGCUUCCUGUAAAUCUUAGUGGCAAUUAAUAAUAAAUCAUAUUCUGAACUACUUAGCAGGUUUUCGGCAUUGCAUUUAAAAUUCGAACAUAAGAGAUGACCUCGUUGCAAAGACACCAAAUAAAAUGUUCUUUGUAAACACCUUGGGCUUCAGACACCAGCCACGUGUGAAAGGUCAAGGCGUUCCCACUUCUAGACAUUAGAUGAGCAGUCUGUGGGUGGGCAUUUGAGGAAGAGAGAUGGGAUCCCGGCAUCAUGGAGGUGAUGGAUUA